CAUCCNUCUCACCCCUAUGUGCGCCACCGCGUGUGUNCCCCUUCUGCCUCGUCUCCGAGGGGNNCUCGNUGAUAUUUCACACAAACUUGACGCANNGGAUGAAUGUCUUUUUUCUUUUGCGAUCACACGCAAUCAAUACAACUUUCAGACAACGGAUCUCUUGGCUCUCGCANCGAUGAAGAACGCAGCGAAAUGCGAUACGUAAUGUGAAUUGCAGAAUUCAGUGAAUCAUCGAAUCUUUGAACGCNCCUUGCGCCCCUUGGCAUUCCGAGGUGGCACACCCGUUUGAGUGUCGUGAAAUUCUCAAAACGCCUUUCUUUUUGAUCUUUCGAUCGAAGAAAGGCUUUUGGACUUGNAGGCUUUUUGACUGGUUUCACCUUGAAGCGANAUCCUCCUAACUGAAUCAGNCGANGGACCGCUUUGCUGAUCCUUGACGAUCGAUAAGAUGUUUCUACGUCUUG
rnacentral:rRNA from 1 species